AACGAACGCUGGCGGCAGGCUUAACACAUGCAAGUCGAGCGCCCCGCAAGGGGAGCGGCAGACGGGUGAGUAACGCGUGGGAAUCUACCCAUCCCUACGGAAUAGCUCCGGGAAACUGGAAUUAAUACCGUAUACGCCCUACGGGGGAAAGAUUUAUCGGGGAUGGAUGAGCCCGCGUUGGAUUAGCUAGUUGGUGGGGUAAAGGCCUACCAAGGCGACGAUCCAUAGCUGGUCUGAGAGGAUGAUCAGCCACAUUGGGACUGAGACACGGCCCAAACUCCUACGGGAGGCAGCAGUGGGGAAUAUUGGACAAUGGGGGCAACCCUGAUCCAGCCAUGCCGCGUGAGUGAUGAAGGCCUUAGGGUUGUAAAGCUCUUUCACCGGGGAAGAUAAUGACGGUACCCGGAGAAGAAGCCCCGGCUAACUUCGUGCCAGCCGCCGCCGUAA
rnacentral:rRNA from 1 species